GUGAAUCAUCGAAUCUUUGAACGCAAAUUGCACUCUCCUCGGAGAGUAUGCCUGUUUGAGGGUCAGCCUAAAAAAAAAAUCGACAUCGUUGCUGUUUCGCGGUUACGUUAGUCGGAAAUUGUGUCAUCUUAAACCUUUUGGUUUUUAAGCGACUUAAAAUUUUUCUUACGAUUUCUACGAACGUGUCUAAGAAUUUCUUGUACGUUCGCGACAUCGAAAUCAUCUUAGGGGCGACCGCCGCGUCGGGUUCGCUCCCAUAAUGGAUCAUCUAAGGACCUCAGACAGGCAAGACGACCCACU
rnacentral:misc_RNA from 1 species